AUUGAACGCUGGCGGCAGGCCUAACACAUGCAAGUCGAACGAGUGGCGGACGGGUGAGUAAUGUCUGGGAAACUGCCCGAUGGAGGGGGAUAACCACUGGAAACGGGAGCUAAUACCGCAUACCAUCGGAUGUGCCCAGAUGGGAUUAGCUAGUAGGUGGGGUAACGGCUCACCUAGGCGACGAUCCCUAGCGGGUCUGAGAGGAUGAGCGGCCACACUGGGACUGAGACACGGCCCAGACGCCUACGGGAGGCAGCAGUGGGGAAUAUUGCGCAAUGGACGCAAGCCUGAUGCAGCCAUGCCGCGUGUAUGAAGAAGGCCUUCGGGUUGUAAAGUACUUUCAGCGAGGAGGCGUUACUCGCAGAAGAAGCACCGGCUAACUACGUGCCAGCAGCCGCGGUAAUUC
rnacentral:rRNA from 1 species